GAUGAACGCUGGCGGCGUGCCUAAUACAUGCAAGUCGAGCGAACAGAUGAGGAGCUUGCUCCUCUGACGUUAGCGGCGGACGGGUGAGUAACACGUGGAUAACCUACCUAUAAGACUGGGAUAACUUCGGGAAACCGGAGCUAAUACCGGAUAAUAUAUUGAACCGCAUGGUUCAAUAGUGAAAGACGGUUUUGCUGUCACUUAUAGAUGGAUCCGCGCCGCAUUAGCUAGUUGGUAAGGUAACGGCUUACCAAGGCAACGAUGCGUAGCCGACCUGAGAGGGUGAUAGGCCACAUUGGAACUGAGACACGGUCCAGACUCCUACGGGAGGCAGCAGUAGGGAAUCUUCCGCAAUGGGCGAAAGCCUGACGGAGCAACGCCGCGUGAGUGAUGAAGGUCUUCGGAUCGUAAAACUCUGUUAUUAGGGAAGAACAAAUGUGUAAGUAACUAUGCACGGCUUGACGGUACCUAAUCAGAAAGCCACGGCUAACUACGUG
rnacentral:rRNA from 1 species